ensembl:snRNA U6 U6 spliceosomal RNA
GCGCUCACUUCGGCAGUGCACACGCUAAGGUUGGGGUGACACGGAGAAGCUCAGCACGGCCCCUGUGCGAGGGUGACACGCCAAGUCGUGCCGCAUCCCUUGUUUUU